UUUUUACUCCGGUCUCAGCUGGUGAACAGAGAUUGCAGUCCCGCAAGUUCCAUGCGAGGCGCCGUCCGCACAAACAACUAUCUCCAUGAACCGUUCUCUCCCUCUUCCGCUAUUGCUUUUCGUUUGAUUUCAUGGCACUCCAUUGAUUCUCUCCGGAAGAUUUGUGUUGAUCCAACAGGGACUGUUUUUCCAUAUGUGCAUGCUACAUGUUCGACGAAAUGCCUACUAGAAAUACCCUGGGUAAGGAAAAUAGAAUAACACACAUUGAUAUUCGAAGUAUGCAUGGAUUAUGGUCGCUCUCAUGUUGUUAUAUUAGACCACUUCCAUUGUCAAAGUUUUUCCUACCAUAUUUGCAAUUCACUGCAGUUUGUUGAAAAUGAGGGAAUGUGCCAGAUUACAGUAUGAACUGAUGCCUAAAUGUUAUAAGAGAUAGUGAAAUUGUGAAUCUAUUGUUGGUUUGUUGCUUAUUUAUCCAUGCACAUGUACUGUUUUUGUCCAGUUCAAAGGACUUUUGUCUCAUACAAGUUACCACCAGUUGUAGCACUACAAAUCAAAGAAAUGGAAGUUCAAGAAAUAGGGACUAUCUUCUUUCUUAGGAUCCACCCACUGAAAUCGAGCUUAUGGGAUUCUAUAGGCUUUGUAUAACCAACUAGAUACCACCAGUUGUAGCACUACAAAUCAAAGAAAUGGAAGUUCAAGAAAUAGGGACUAUCUUCUUUCUUAGAAUCCACCCACUAAAAUCGAGCUUAUGGGAUUCUAUAGGCUUUGUAUAACCAACUAGAUACACAUGCCUUUAUUUGUCUGCCAUUGUGAGUAAAAGGGAGAAAAAUCAAUUCAGUCCUGCUCCUUUCUCAUGAUUUCCAUUAAAACUAUUUUCUUUUGCAGCUCGGGUUGUUUUAUUCUUGAUUUUACAUAUAAUCCAUGUCACAUGUAUAAGAAAAUCUACAUCACAAUGGUAAGUUUUGAUCUACAUGCAUUCAUGGUAGGGUCCAUUCUUUGUGGUUAGGGAAUACUUUCUUCUAGGAUCAAUGAAAGCAGCAGCAUGUCUGCCUUUCGUCAAAAAACAUCCCAUUUAUAUUUAGUUAACACUGAAUCUGCCAUUGGUGCAUCGUUUUCUUACCACGGACAAUUGAUAACUAACAUCGCGGUGCCCAUUUGGCUUAGGAGCAGUUGAUAACUAAUAUCGUGGUGCCUAUUUUGUUUCAGAUUGCAGAAGCACUACGUUGUGUUGUUUCAUUUUUCCAAGUUUGCAGUUAUAUUUAUCUCAGCUCUCAUGUCUCAAAAAAAAAACUCCCUACGGUAGGUAGCAUCUAGCCAAAGAACCACCAAAGAUGCAUAUUUACACACUGGAAGGAAUUAUUAUCCCUUCUUUUUUUAUUAAUAUGCGACUUUAUUCAGUACAGAUUUUAAUCAGAUACAAAGUAGAGGCCAACAACAUGCCUGCAGAUUCUGAUCAAGAAUUGGUGACGUCGAUGAGCUGUUGGCACUAAAGAAGCAAGAGGUUCAGAGGGAUGCUAAUAUUUUGGGCAAGUCGACAGGAAACAGGCUUGAGGAUGAUUUUUAGCCACUUAUUUCUCCUAGAAACAUGUAUCCCAGAUGAUCAAAUCACGAUAAAUAACGUUCUUAGGAGCAGGUCAGUACAUUUAGAACUGAGAGGUCAGCUUGAUUUUGAUUGAUUAUGUCUAACUAAUUCCAUAGCUUCUUUGUUGUUUGUGACAAUGUAGGAGUUUUAAGAAGCUACGAGCUAAUUUGGUUGGACGGCUGAGUAACUAGAUCACCAUCUAACUUAAUGAAGAUACUAAUUAUGUGCUACUCCUUUCACGACUUCUCAAUGGGCUAAGCUAGGUACUGCUCAAGACCAUUUUGGUGUUGUGCAAGAGUACGCAUAAUCAAUUCGAAGCAUAGGUUAAAAAGAACUGUCCAGAUCAAUACCCGCCUUAGAGCCCGUCCAAUCUACAACAAUGCAAACCAUAGAAGAUGCACUUCAGGGUAACUGACAUAGGGUAUGUUUUGUGCUGUUACAGGUGCUUCCAACAUGAGAUACAACUACAGAUCAUGAGCCUGUAUAUAAUUUUCAGCUUAUGCCUGUUAAACUGUAUACAACCUAUGCUUCGAAUUGAUUAUGCGAAUGAAUGCAGUUUACCUUUUG